GACGAACGCUGGCGGCGUGCCUAAUACAUGCAAGUCGAGCGGAAGUUGGAGAGCUUGCUCUUCAACUUUAGCGGCGGACGGGUGAGUAACACGUGGGCAACCUGCCCUGCAGAUCGGGAUAACUCCGGGAAACCGGUGCUAAUACCGAAUAGUUUUCGCCACCUCCUGGUGGCGUACGGAAAGACGGUUUCGGCUGUCACUGCAGGAUGGGCCCGCGGCGCAUUAGCUAGUUGGUGGGGUAACGGCCCACCAAGGCAACGAUGCGUAGCCGACCUGAGAUGGUGAUCGGCCACACUGGGGCUGAGACACGGCCCAGACUCCUACGGGAGGAAGCAGUAGGGAAGCUUCCGCAAUGGACGAAAGUCUGACGGAGCAACGCCGCGUGAGUGACGAAGGUUUUCGGAUCGUAAAACUCUGUUGUGAGGGAAGAACAAGUACCAACUAACUACUGGUACCUUGACGGUACCUCACCAGAAAGCCACGGCUAACUACGUGCCAGCCGCCGCGGUAA
rnacentral:rRNA from 1 species